rnacentral:ncRNA from 1 species
UCUCAAAGAUUAAGCCAUGCAAGUCUAAGUACGAGCUCUCGUACAGUGAAACUGCGAAUGGCUCAUUAAAUCAGUUAUGGUUCAUUUGAUCGUACAGUUUACUUGGAUAACUGUGGUAAUUCUAGAGCUAAUACAUGCGAGAAGCGCCGACCUCGCGGGAGGCGUGCAUUUAUCAGACCAAAAACCGGCCGCGUCUUCGGGCGCGUUCGCCUUGGUGACUCUGGAUAACUUUGCGGAUCGCACGGUCUAGCACCGGCGACGGAUCAUUCAAGUGUCUGCCCUAUCAACUUUCGUCGGUACGGUAUUUGCCUACCGAGGUUCUUACGGGUGACGGGGAAUCAGGGUUCGAUUCCGGAGAGGGAGCCUGAGAAACGGCUACCACAUCCAAGGAAGGCAGCAGGCGCGCAAAUUACCCAUUCCCGACGCGGGGAGGUAGUGACGAAAAAUAACAAUGCAGGACUCGUUCGAGGCCCUGUAAUUGGAAUGAGUACACUUUAAAAGCUUUAACGAGUAUCCAUUGGAGGGCAAGUCUGGUGCCAGCAGCCGCGGUAAUUCCAGCUCCAAAAGUAUAUAUUUAAGUUGUUGCGGUUAACCCUUUAACUGCCGGCUGUUUUUCAGUUCAUUU